rnacentral:rRNA from 2 species
UACACAUGCAAGUCGAACGGCAGCACGGGAGCAAUCCUGGUGGCGAGUGGCGAACGGGUGAGUAAUAUAUCGGAACGUGCCCAAUCGUGGGGGAUAACGCAGCGAAAGCUGUGCUAAUACCGCAUACGAUCUACGGAUGAAAGCGGGGGACUCGCAAGAGCCUCGCGCGAAUGGAGCGGCCGAUAUCAGAUUAGCUAGUUGGUGGGGUAAAAGCUCACCAAGGCGACGAUCUGUAGCUGGUCUGAGAGGACGACCAGCCACACUGGAACUGAGACACGGUCCAGACUCCUACGGGAGGCAGCAGUGGGGAAUUUUGGACAAUGGGCGCAAGCCUGAUCCAGCAAUGCCGCGUGCAGGAUGAAGGCCUUCGGGUUGUAAACUGCUUUUGUACGGAACGAAACGGCUCUUUCUAAUAAAGAGGGCUAAUGACGGUACCGUAAGAAUAAGCACCGGCUAACUACGUGCCAGCAGCCGCGGUAAUACGUAGGGUGCGAGCGUUAAUCGGAAUUACUGGGCGUAAAGCGUGCGCAGGCGGUGAUGUAAGACAGAUGUGAAAUCCCCGGGCUCAACCUGGGACCUGCAUUUGUGACUGCAUCGCUAGAGUACGGUAGAGGGGGAUGGAAUUCCGCGUGUAGCAGUGAAAUGCGUAGAUAUGCGGAGGAACACCGAUGGCGAAGGCAAUCCCCUGGACCUGUACUGACGCUCAUGCACGAAAGCGUGGGGAGCAAACAGGAUUAGAUACCCUGGUAGUCCACGCCCUAAAC